AGAUACCCUAUUAUAUUUAAAAUUUUAAGGUAGUAUUUAUAUAAAAACCUAUAUAUCAUGGCGGCAUUACAUUUAAUUAGAGGAAUAUGUCUAAUAAUCGACACUACGCGAUAAUUCUCACUUUAUUUUAAAUUUUAUAUACCGCCACUUAAAUUAAAACAAAACUACUCAAUUAUAAUAUUAUUAUAAAAAAACAGGUAAAGGUGUAGAACAUACUAAAGUUAAGAUGURUUACGCUAAAUAAUAUUUAAGGAAAAUUUAUAAAAACUCAUUAGAAAACGGAUUUAAAAGUAAUAUUUACCGCCCAUAUUAAUAUUAAAAUAUGAAUAAAAACCUUAAUGUGCACACAUCGCCCGUCGCUCUU
rnacentral:rRNA from 1 species